UACGUAGGUGGCAAGCGUUGUCCGGAAUUAUUGGGCGUAAAGCGCGCGCAGGCGGUCCUUUAAGUCUGAUGUGAAAUCUCGCGGCUCAACCGCGAGCGGCCAUUGGAAACUGGGGGACUUGAGUGCAGAAGAGGAAAGCGGAAUUCCACGUGUAGCGGUGAAAUGCGUAGAGAUGUGGAGGAACACCAGUGGCGAAGGCGGCUUUCUGGUCUGUAACUGACGCUGAGGCGCGAAAGCGUGGGGAGCAAACAGG
rnacentral:rRNA from 1 species